GUCUCGAUGGUGUAGUGGUCAUUACACCCGUCCAGUAACCGCGGAGACGUGGGUACGAUUCCCGCCCGCGACA